GACGAACGCUGACGGUGUGCUUUAGGCAUGCAAGUCGAGCGAGAAAGCCCUUCGGGGUGAGUAGAGUGGCGAACGGGUGAGUAACACGUGGGCAACCUGCCCCUCGCAGGGGGAUAACCGGAGGAAACUCCGGCUAAUACCCCGUAAGCUUUCAGGGUCGCAUGGCUCUGUAAGGAAAGGUAGCUUCGGCCAUCCGGCGAGGGAUGGGCCCGCGGUGCAUUAGCUAGUUGGUGGGGUAAUGGCCCACCAAGGCAACGAUGCGUAGCUGGUCUGAGAGGAUGAUCAGCCACACUGGGACUGAGACACGGCCCAGACUCCUACGGGAGGCAGCAGCCAGGAAUCUUGGGCAAUGGGCGAAAGCCUGAC
rnacentral:rRNA from 1 species